GAUGAACGCUAGCGACAGGCUUAACACAUGCAAGUCGGGGGGCAGCAUAGAAGUAGCAAUACUUUGGAGGCGACCGGCGCACGGGUGAGUAACGCGUAUGCAACCUACCUAUCAGAGAGGAAUAACCCGGCGAAAGUCGGACUAAUACCGCUUAAAACAGGGGCACCACAUGGUGAUAUUUGUUAAAGAAAUUCGCUGAUAGAUGGGCAUGCGUUCCAUUAGGUAGUUGGUGAGGUAACGGCUCACCAAGCCGACGAUGGAUAGGGGAACUGAGAGGUUGGUCCCCCACACUGGUACUGAGACACGGACCAGACUCCUACGAGAGGCAGCAGUGAGGAAUAUUGGUCAAUGGGCGAGAGCCUGAACCGGCCAAGUCGCGUGAAGGAAGAAGGAUCUAUGGUUCGUAAACUUCUUUUGCAGGGGAAUAAAGUGCGGGACGUGUCCUGUUUUGUAUGUACCCUGAGAAUAAGGAUCGGCUAACUCCGUGCCAGCCGCCGCCGUAACAC
rnacentral:rRNA from 1 species